rnacentral:rRNA from 1 species
GGAGGGUGCAAACGUUGUUCGGAAUUACUGGGCGUAAAGCGCAUGUAGGCGGAUACGUAGGUCAGAUGUGAAAGCCCUUGGCUCAACCAAGGAAGUGCAUCUGAAACCACAUAUCUUGAGUAUGACAGAGGGAAGUGGAAUUCCCAGUGUAGAGGUGAAAUUCAUAGAUAUUGGGAAGAACACCGGUGGCGAAGGCGGCUUUCUGGGUCAUUACUGACGCUGAGAUGCGAAAGCGUGGGGGGAGCAAACAGGAUUAGAUACCCUGGUAGUCCACGCCCGUAAACGAUGUGCACUAGGUGUUGGGAGUAAUUAAACUCACAGUGCCGAAGCUAACGCAUUAAGUGCACCGCCUGGGGAUUACGGUCGCAAGACUA